CGUGUAGGCGGUUUUUUAAGUCUGAUGUGAAAGCCCCGGGCUCAACCCGGGAAGUGCAUUGGAUACUGGGAGACUUGAAUACGGGAGAGGGUAGUGGAAUUCCUAGUGUAGGAGUGAAAUCCGUAGAUAUUAGGAGGAACACCGGUGGCGAAGGCGGCUACCUGGACCGAUAUUGACGCUGAGACGCGAAAGCGUGGGGAGCAAACAGGAUUAGAUACCCUGGUAGUCCACGCCGUAAACGAUGAGAACUAGGUGUUGCGGGUAUUGACCCCUGCAGUGCCGCAGCUAACGCAUUAAGUUCUCCGCCUGGGAAGUACGGUCGCAAGACUAAAA
rnacentral:rRNA from 1 species